rnacentral:rRNA from 1 species
AUACGUAGGUGGCAAGCGUUGUCCGGAAUUAUUGGGCGUAAAGCGCAUGUAGGCGGUAAUUUAAGUCUGUCGUGAAACUGCGGGGCUCAGCCCCGUAUGGCGAUGGAAACUGGGUUACUUGAGUGCAGGAGAGGAAAGGGGAACUCCCAGUGUAGCGGUGAAAUGCGUAGAUAUUGGGAAGAACACCGGUGGCGAAGGCGCCUUUCUGGACUGUGUCUGACGCUGAGAUGCGAAAGCCAGGGUAGCGAACGGGAUUAGAUACCCCGGUAGUCCUGGCCGUAAACGAUGGGUACUAGGUGUGGGAGGUAUCGACCCCUUCCGUGCCGGAGUCAACGCAAUAAGUACCCCGCCUGGGGAGUACGGCCGCAAGGCUUAAACUCAAAGGAAUUGACGGGG